rnacentral:tRNA from 1 species
ACCUGGCUGGCUCAGUCAGGAAGAGCAUGUGACUCUUGAUCUUGGGGUUGUGAGUUCAAGUCCCACUUUGGGUG